rnacentral:lncRNA from 1 species
AGAAAUUGUGUGAAAAAUUAUGUUUCAAAUGUAUAAACACAUGAACUUAUAUCACAUCUAAUUAAAUUAUUGCAACAACAUAUUAACGUACUUAAUAUGGAAAUUCAUAAACUAUUUGACAAUAUGAAAUCGAGCAAUUUCUAAACAUGAGAAAUGGAUAUUAGAAAGUAUAAAUUCUACCCCAUAAAUAUUAACACAAUUAACAAAUUCUCAGUACAUGAUCACAAAAAGGUAUAAAAAAGUAAUUCAAUUUCUAAAUUUCAAAAAUGGUAAAGAUAAAAAAAGGGUCCAAGUUCUCAAUUCUCAUCAUAACGAAAAUUAUGAUAUCAUUUU